rnacentral:rRNA from 1 species
GGUGAACCUGCGGAAGGUACAUUA